AGCUCCAAUAGCGUAUAUUAAAGUUGUUGCAGUUAAAAAGCUCGUAGUUGAACUUCUGGCUAUUCUUCCAGCUGGCUUCGGUCGCUGUAAGAGUGGUCAUCCGCUUGGGAACUACGUUCGAACUUCACUGUUCGGCGUAAGGAACAGGCAUUUUACUUAGAAAAAAUUAGAGUGUUCAAGGCAGGCUAUCGCCCUGAAUACACAAGCUUGGAAUAAUGAAAUAGGACUAUUUCCAUUUUAUUGGUUAUUGGAAUUAGUAAUGAUUAAUAGGGACAGUUGGGGACAUUAGUAUUUAAUUGUCAGAGGUGAAAUUCUUGGAUUUAUUAAAGACUAACUUAUGCGAAAGCAUUUGUCAAGGAUGUUUUCA
rnacentral:rRNA from 1 species